rnacentral:rRNA from 1 species
UUUGUUGCCAGCGGUUAGGCCGGGAACUCAAAGGAGACUGCCAGUGAUAAACUGGAGGAAGGUGGGGAUGACGUCAAGUCAUCAUGGCCCUUACGACCAGGGCUACACACGUGCUACAAUGGCAUAUACAAAGAGAAGCGACCUCGCGAGAGCAAGCGGACCUCAUAAAGUAUGUCGUAGUCCGGAUUGGAGUCUGCAACUCGACUCCAUGAAGUCGGAAUCGCUAGUAAUCGUAGAUCAGAAUGCUACGGUGAAUACGUUCCCGGGCCUUGUACACACCGCCCGUCACACCAUGGGAGUGGGUUGCAAAAGAAGUAGGUAGCUUAACCUUCGGGAGGGCGCUUACCACUUUGUGAUUCAUGACUGGGGUGAAGUCGUAACAAGGUAACCGUAGGGGAACCUGCGGUUGGAUCACCUCCUUA